GUCUGCAAAGUAUUGUUACCUAGUUGGCAUUGUAAUUGUGACUUCAAAAGGCCGUUCCAUCAUUUUAUCAAUUCGGCUGCUUCAGGAUGACAGAUAACAUGGUGCCUCAAAUUUGACGUGUUGACAUGUCUAAACAUCAGAAAUCACAAAUUGGCUGCUCACAGGACUCAUGCAACUUGCAGUUAUGUUUCUGUGGCCUGUACACUUUGAAUUAAUAGCUAAGAUAUAAAAAUAGAAUGAUAGCUUUAAAAAUUAGAUUUCUAGCUUCACUUGAAAAAUCAUCAGAGCUGGCAUCACAAGGCUCAUGUUGCUUCUGCCAAUAAUCAGCCAAUGGAUUUCUACAACAAUCCCUUUCUUGGCUUUCCUGCUUUCCUUGAUUUGGAAAGGACUCCAGCUUAUGAAAGAAAACGCAAAGAAAGAAGAGACCAUUCCACUGAUUUUGGGAACAAGACAACAUAAUGAUCACAUCUAUGCUUUACAAAGAAAACUCUGCAUCCAUAUGAAGAAUAAAUGAUGGAGCUAGGCUGGAGAAGUACACUACUUGAAGUCAACAAGAAAGCAGCUGGUGAAAGAUGAUGAGACACUUAUUAGAGGAAGAAGCAGUGAGGAUGGAAGGGAGAGAAAUAUACACUAGAGGCACUGGAAAGUGCAUCACCCACCUUAUUGAGUCAUCAGAUAUGAUAUUCUGAAUUUCCUGGGUUAGAUCAAUCCAGAGAUUUUGGAGAAGAUAAAAUAUUGCAGGAAGAAAAUAUUUUAAUUCAUGAUCUUGAGGAUCUCAAGGGAAAGAUGUGUCUGAUAUUAACAAAGAGGGCUUGUUCUCAUACAGUAAUGUCUUUGGCCAAAAUACAGAAUGAAGGAAGAGAAGCAAACACUUCCUGUUGUGCAGCUCAAGCUACUAUAUGCUUUUGAGGACUCCUACAUCACAUUCUUUUGGUACCAUCAUUCAAUUCUCCAU